rnacentral:rRNA from 1 species
GAUGAACGCUGGCGGCGUGCCUAAUACAUGCAAGUCGAGCGAACAGAUGAGGAGCUUGCUCCUCUGACGUUAGCGGCGGACGGGUGAGUAACACGUGGAUAACCUACCUAUAAGACUGGGAUAACUUCGGGAAACCGGAGCUAAUACCGGAUAAUAUAUUGAACCGCAUGGUUCAAUAGUGAAAGACGGUUUUGCUGUCACUUAUCGGUGGAUCCGCGCCGCAUUAGCUAGUUGGUAAGGUAACGGCUUACCAAGGCAACGAUGCGUAGCCGACCUGAGAGGGUGAUCGGCCACACUGGAACUGAGACACGGUCCAGACUCCUACGGGAGGCAGCAGUAGGGAAUCUUCCGCAAUGGGCGAAAGCCUGACGGAGCAACGCCGCGUGAGUGAUGAAGGUCUUCGGAUCGUAAAACUCUGUUAUUAGGGAAGAACAAAUGUGUAAGUAACUAUGCACGUCUUGACGGUACCUAAUCAGAAAGCCACGGCUAACUACGUG